rnacentral:lncRNA from 1 species
UCCGAGUCUGCUUUCUCUUUCUGCUUUUUUGGAGGGGAGAAAUGGAAUUCCGAAGGUGUCUUUGCUGGCCCCCUGCUAGCCUUCCUUGCUUUCCCCUCUCCGGCGGGGCGGCGGCGUUUCUUUCGCUCUCGCCGGCCGCCCGGCUUUGCUCUGGCCGUGCUCAGCCCCGGUCCCCCUCCUCCCCCCCCCGGACCGUAUCCUCUUCCUUCUCCUCCUCUUUCAAGUUGCCACAGGAGCCACGACGAAGCGGGCGGCGGGGAAAGGCAUCCAGGAGGGUCACCCGGGGGAGGACGAGAGGGAGACCGGGGGAAGGAAGAGGGCGAGGAGGAGCGGGAGCAGGAGGCAAAGGAGGAAGAGGAGGAGGCGGCGAUCGGCUCGCCGGACAACACCCGCCCAGGCCGGCCAGCCCCGCUCCCGCGCCGUCCGCCGGCUAGCAGCACGCCUGGCCGGCGGGCCGGCGGCGGGCCAGCGGCGGGCAGGCGGCGGGAGCCCGCGGGGUGCAGCCGCCGCGGUCGCCGCCGCUCCUUGGGGUCUCGCUGCCGGGGCUGCGGCCGCCUCCGUGGCCGCCACUGCAGCCGCCGGCGGCGGGGCUGGUGCGGGGCUUCGGCCGCGGCGGGCUGGCGGGCGCCCGGCGGCGGCGAGCGGGGAGUCGGCGAGGCAGGGGCCGAGGCGCGGCUGGCUGCCGCUCAGGGCGCGCGAGUGUCCGGGGGCCAGGUCCGAGGAGGCAGCGCCGCGCAGUCAGCCAUUCAGCAGCGGCGGCGCUUCGCAGAGCAGCUCCGCCGGAGAGGAGGAGGAGGAGGGCGCCGGAGCCGAGUUGGGGAGGCACUUUGCGGAUCCGUCGCUGCCGCCGCCGCCGCUGCUCCUGCCGCCGCCGCCGUUGUUCUCGGCCGUCCCUCGGCUGCCGCUGCUUCUCCGCCCUCGCCGCGCCGCUCGCCUUCCUGCUCCCUUAAUUUCGCCGGGAAACGUACAAAGGCGACGAAGCCCAAGCGCCGUCCACUUCGCUCCGCCGACCGAGGGUCUCCAGCCAAGUGGCAAAGCAAAAGGCGAACAUGGAGAGAAAGCGAGUGUCAGACACGCCAAGGAAGGGGAGGGAAGAAAAGCCAAAGGAGCGAGAGCGAGAGAGAUCCAAAGUAG